GUCUCUUCAGAGACAUCGAAUAAAAUUGGAACGAUACCGAGAAAAUAAGAAUCAAAGAUAACACACACAAAUUGGAGAAAUUGGCUAUUAUG
rnacentral:snRNA from 1 species